rnacentral:tRNA from 1 species
UUGGCUCGCUGGCUGGGCGGGUUGCCGCUGGCGUUGCGGUUGGCGGGGGCGUAUUUGGCGGCGACGGGGGCGGCUCUGCUGCCCGAGCCUGGCC